rnacentral:rRNA from 1 species
UACGUAGGGCGCAAGCGUUGUCCGGAAUUAUUGGGCGUAAAGAGCUUGUAGGCGGUUUGUCGCGUCUGCUGUGAAAUCUCAAGGCUCAACCUUGAGCUUGCAGUGGGUACGGGCAGACUAGAGUGUGGUAGGGGAGACUGGAAUUCCUGGUGUAGCGGUGAAAUGCGCAGAUAUCAGGAGGAACACCGAUGGCGAAGGCAGGUCUCUGGGCCACUACUGACGCUGAGAAGCGAAAGCCAGGGGAGCAAACGGG